CAGCCGCCGCGGGAAUACAGAGGAUGCAAGCGCUAUCCGGAAUGAUUGGGCGUAAAGCGUCUGUAGGAGGCUUUUCAAGUCCGCCGUCAAAUCCCAGGGCUCAACCCUGGACAGGCGGUGGAAACUACCAAGCUGGAGUAUGGUAGGGGCAGAGGGAAUUUCCGAUGGAGCGGUGAAAUGCAUUGAGAUCGGAAAGAACACCAACGGUGAAAGCACUCUGCUGGGCCGACACUGACACUGAGAGACGAAAGUUAGGGGAGAAAAUGGGAUUAGAUACCCCCGUAGUCCCUGUCUCUUAUAC
rnacentral:rRNA from 1 species